GACGAACGCUGGCGGCGUGCUUAACACAUGCAAGUCGAACGGAAAGGCCCUGCUUUUGUGGGGUGCUCGAGUGGCGAACGGGUGAGUAACACGUGAGUAACCUGCCCUUGACUUUGGGAUAACUUCAGGAAACUGGGGCUAAUACCGGAUAGGAGCUCCUGCUGCAUGGUGGGGGUUGGAAAGUUUCGGCGGUUGGGGAUGGACUCGCGGCUUAUCAGCUUGUUGGUGGGGUAGUGGCUUACCAAGGCUGUGACGGGUAGCCGGCCUGAGAGGGUGACCGGCCACAUUGGGACUGAGAUACGGCCCAGACUCCUACGGGAGGCAGCAGUGGGGAAUAUUACACAAUGGGCGGAAGCCUGAUGCAGCAACGCCGCGUGCGGGAAGACGGCCUUCGGGUUGUAAACCGCUUUCGCCUGUGACGAAGCGUGAGUGACGGUAAUGGGUAAAGAAGCACCGGCUAACUACGUG
rnacentral:rRNA from 1 species